rnacentral:rRNA from 1 species
GACGAACGCUGGCGGCGUGCUUAACACAUGCAAGUCGAACGGAAAGGUCCUGCUUUUGUGGGGUGCUCGAGUGGCGAACGGGUGAGUAACACGUGAGUAACCUGCCCUUGACUUUGGGAUAACUUCAGGAAACUGGGGCUAAUACCGGAUAGGAGCUCCUGCUGCAUGGUGGGGGUUGGAAAGUUUCGGCGGUUGGGGAUGGAUUCGCGGCUUAUCAGCUUGUUGGUGGGGUAGUGGCUUACCAAGGCUUUGACGGGUAGCCGGCCUGAGAGGGUGAACGGGCACAAUGGGACUGAGAGACGGCGCAGACUGCUACGGGACGCAGCAGUGGGGAAUAUGGCACAAUGGGCGGAAGCCUGAUGCAGCAACGCCGGGUGCGGGAUGACGGCCUUCGGGUUGUAAACCGCUUUCGCCUGUGACGAAGCGUGAGUGACGGUAAUGGGUAAAGAAGCACCGGCUAACUACGUG